rnacentral:lncRNA from 1 species
AGCGAGGGGACUGGUGAAGGCACUGAGUCGCGUGGCAGACAGCGAACCUGACAACCGAGACGGCUUCCCAGCCACAAACGAGGCAGCAGUGGCCGCACUGCACGCGCUGGGCGAGGGCUGACCCCCAUCCCAGGUGGGGUGGCCCCAUGGCGCACGAUGUAAAAUGGAAGUGUUCUCCUCCUCUGGAAUUUUCCAUUCAGUAUUUUCAUCGCGGCAGAAUUCCUGGCCCAGUUUGCUGGAGGAGCAGUGUGUCACGUUUGUCACAGAGACGCCUGUCCUGGCUGCCCGUGAGGGCUCCCACCCUGGCCGUCCCAUCCACCGCUUCCUCCCUCGCUGCCCCUCCAUCCCGUCCUCCGCCCACAUUGGGACCCGGUCCAGGGAGAGGGUCCUUUGGAUGCUGGUGUGUGCUGCGGCCGAU